UACCCCGCUGGAAUUUAAGCAUAUCAAUAAGCGGUGGAAAAGAAACUAACCAGGAUUCCCCUAGUAACGGCGAGUGAACAGGGACUAGCCCAGCACCGAAGUCUGCGUCCAUUUGGGCGUUAGACAAUGUGGUGUUUAGGUUGGUGUUUUCGAAUGUUGCUCCGUUUGAAGUCCAUUCUUGAAUAUGGCUAAUAGUUUGGCCCAGAGAGGGUGAAAGGCCCGUGUGGAUGGAGCGAUGUUUGACUGUGCUAACCAUGGAGUCGGGUUGUUUGAGAAUGCAGCCCAAAGUUGGUGGUAAACUCCAUCUAAGGCUAAAUACUGGCACGAGUCCGAUAGCGAACAAGUACCGUGAGGGAAAGUUGAAAAGUACUCUGAAGAGAGAGUUAACAGUGCGUGAAACCGCUUAGAAGCAAACGGGUGUAGUCAAGCUGCAAGCCUUAAGAAAUAGGUUGGUCAGAAUGGCGUGAGUCUGAGCACAAGGGCUGCCCUGUAGGUCCGACUGAAGUCGGGUCCGGCUCGCAAGAGUUGGAUUUGUGGAGCGUUUACUCGCCGCUUGCCUGCUUGUCAGUUGCUCUACUGGCCCUCUCAAUUUCUUUUGGCGUAUGUCACGACCGUCUUUGCUGUCGGUCUGCUUCAUUUAAACCGCUUCCUGAGUAGUUUCGUGCUACUUGAGUUGCGGGGGCAGGUAGCUGAUCUGAUUUCGGUUGGAUUGGUUUAAUUGCUGAGUGGAGUGGUACCUGUAACUGUGCAGUGAGAUGGGGCUGGCGGUGCAUUGUUGCUGGGCGUGCUAAAGUGUGUCGGCGUGGUUGGCGUAUGGCUAUCUGUUGCUGUUAAUAACGGCCUGGUGGUUGCCCGACUGCGGUUUGAUGCACGGCUACGUCUGGUCAAUCUUUGCGUUGUGCCUAUAGUCUGUGGCGUAGUGGUAGACGAUCCACCCGACCCGUCUUGA
rnacentral:rRNA from 1 species